CUCAGGAAAGAAAAGCAGCUGGAAGUCAUCUUCUGGGGACAGGCCAAGAAGGAGGCCCAGGCCCUGGGAAAUCUGCCUGCCUCCUGUUACACAAUCAAGCUGCCUCCCAGCUUGAUUCUCAGUCUGUGUCCAGGAUUGAGACCAUGUGUGGAAGCUCUCAACAGCAGGCGCUGCAGACAGCCCAACCCAGAGGAGAACCCCACUGGGAGAGGAGACCUGCUUUUAUGCUGCGAGGAGCCAGCUGCCAGCUCAGAAAUGUCCUUCCAAGUGUCAAUGUUGCAAAUCAGAAACAAAAAUCUGGGUAUGCAUGACUCUGGCCAAGGAGGACCCUGUGCCCAGCAAAUAUGUGGAUUUUUAGUACUAGAAGGAUAACAAGAUACUGGGCUUGAUAGAAGAAUUUUAGAACUUGGUACUUCUGCAGAAUUCUGGUCUCCAGAGGAGUUCAGCAGAGGGUAAGAGCCCUGGUGUAGGGAGAGGAAUCAGGAAAUGAGUUUGAUGGAAUGAAUGUGGGAUAGAAUGAGAAUCAUCUGUGGAGGGUCUUCAAGUCAUUCCAGGCUCAUUUUAAAUUUAGAGAAAAUUAAGUCAUUCUAUAAUUAUUCUUGGACUCUGCAUUAGGUCAGGAGGAGCAACUAUUUUUGGAAAAUAGAUUAUAUCAUAUCAUUUCCCUGCUUCAAAUCAUCAGAAGCUUCUGCUAGAAUAAGUCACAAACUCCCUACUGCAGCCUGCAGACCUUCCUGGCAGGCUCCUGCCUACAUUUCCCAUCUCACUUCCCUCCCAGUAGGCUCCGGUCAUGCUGGUCUUUAGGCCCCGCAAGCUCCAAACUCAGGCUCCCCUUUGCUUAGAAAAGUGAUGUUCAGGGUGAAUGAAUGAAGAAAAUGUGGUGCGUAUACAUGAUGGAAUACAAUUCACCCAUAAAAAGAAUGAAAUCCUGUUAUUUGCAACAACACGGAUGAACCUAGGAGGAAUCCUAUUAAGUGCAGUAAGUCAGACACAAAAGACAAGGGCCAUUUGACUUCACUCAUUUGUGGAAUCUAAAAAAUUCUGAUUGCAUAGAAAUACAGACUAGAACAGUGAUUACCAGACACUGGGGAAGGUAGCAGAGGAAGGUAUAUAGGAAGAGAAAUUGGUGAACAGGUUCAAAGUUAUAGUCAGACAGGAAAGAUAAGCUCUGGUGUUCUAUAGCACAGUAGGGCAAGUGUAGUUAACAAUAUUGUG
rnacentral:lncRNA from 1 species